rnacentral:lncRNA from 1 species
GUCCAGCUAUGCUUCACCCCUUCGCUGAUGAGCCUUAAGAAAAUCCAAAUUUAUAAAUUGCUGGGUCCAUCUCUCUUGCCAUCCAGAAAAGUCAGAGCAACUAGUCUUGCUGGUUUUAAGUGUUGCCUGUGUUUCUGGCAUUGGUCACAAAGCCUACUGCCUGCUAAUCGGCAAGUGGACCUGUUUCUCUAACAAUGGCCCGAAACUGCACAAUAUCAAAGGAGAAAUCAUUGCCAGCAAAAGCAUUUCCAGGUAGUAGGAAAGAAUACAAGUGAAUAACAUUAAUCCAGAAGUUUUAAUAAUAUUCUUUGCUGGUUGAAAUUCAUGUUUAACAUGAUGUAAAUUACUUGAUAAGCAAAUUAAGAAUUGUGGUACUACAGACUCCAAAUAAGGCACAAGAAAAAUGAGAAGAAAUACAUUAAAG